rnacentral:sRNA from 1 species
CUUAACAAGCAGGGUGUCAUGUGACCUCCACAAUGACAUCUGCCUUUUCUAUGGAUAGGGUUAGGGGUUACCUAUGCAGUAUGAAUGGUGCAAGAUAAGCUGUCAUGUCAUUAGUGUUCUUAGGGGAAACUACUCCAAAAUGCCAAUUUGAACCUACAUUUUUUGCUGACACUGUUCAAAGAUAUUUAAAGAUGUUGACCUCACAUCCUGACACCAGUUUGCAGAACACCUUGUGGAUGGUUGAUUUGAUGUAUUCCAACUGACGGCCAUGAAUAAUUUACUUAUUCUGUUAAAAAAAAUGUUACUCUUACAAAUUAAAAAAAACACAAAAUA